rnacentral:rRNA from 1 species
GGGAUAGAAUUCCAGGAGUAGCGGUGAAAUGCGUAGAUAUCUGGAGGAAUACCAAAGGCGAAGGCAGUCCCCUGGUCCGAUACUGACACUGAGGUACGAAAGCGUGGGGAGCAAACAGGAUUAGAUACCCUGGUAGUCCACGCCCUAAACGAUGUCGAUUAGCCAUUGGAAGGACCCCUUUUCCUUUCAGUGACGUAGCUAACGCGUUAAAUCGACCGCCUGGGAAGUACGACCGCAAGGUUAAAACUCAAAGGAAUUGACGGGGACCUGAACAAGCGGUGAAUGAUGUGGGAUUAAUUCGAUGCUACGCGAAGAACCUUACCUACCUUUGACAUGGCCAAAGUUCUACCGAGAGGCGGAAGUACUCGUAAGAGGAUUGGCGCACAGGUGCUGCAUGGUUGUCGUCAGUUCGUGUCGUGAGAUGUUGGGUUCAGUCCCGCAACGAACGCAACCCUUAUCUUUAAUUGCUCCUAUUUCAACAGGCACUUUAAAGAAACUGCCAAUGAUAAGUUGGAGGAAGGUGGGGAUCACGUCAAGUCCGCAUGGCCUUUAUAGGUAGGGCUUCACACGUCAUACAAUGGUUAGAACAAAGAGCUGCAAAUUCGUAAGAAGGAGCCAAUCUCACAAACCUAACCUCAGUUCGAAUUGCGGUCUGCAACUCGAGCGCAUGAAGCCGGAACCGCUAGUAAUCGUGGAUCAGAAUGCCACGGUGAAUACGUUCUUAGGUCUU